UUGGGAAUUUUGCACAAUGGACGAAAGUCUGAUGCAGCAACGCCGCGUGGAGGAUGAAGAACUUAGGUUUGUAAACUCCUUUUGCGAGGGAAUAAUUUUUGAAGGUACCUCGCGAAUAAGCACCGGCUAACUCCGUGCCAGCAGCCGCGGUAAUACGGAGGGUGCAAACGUUGUCCGGAAUUACUGGGCGUAAAGAGCAUGUAGGUGGUUUGGUAAGUGAAUGAUUAAAGACCGAUGCUUAACAUCGGGAAGGUUGUUCAUACUGCCAGACUUGAGAAUGGUAGGGGUACGCGGAACUUUAGGUGUAGGAGUGAAAUCCGUAGAUAUCUAAAGGAACACCAAUGGCGAAGGCAGCGUACUGGGCCAUUUCUGACACUGAGAUGCGAAAGCGUGGGGAGCGAACGGG
rnacentral:rRNA from 1 species